rnacentral:tRNA from 1 species
GCGNNCAUGGUCUAGUGGUUAUGACAGCAGGUUCCCAACCUGCUAACCCGGGUUCAACUCCCGGUGCUCGCACCA